AUGAUGGAUGAUGAAAUAAAUCAGACGGAUUCCCAAUGAUUUAUACAUGAUAUCACAACCAGCUACUUCUGACUCAU